GAUGAAGAACGAAGCGAAAUGCGAUACUUGGUGUGAAUUGCAGAAUCCCGUGAACCAUCGAGUCUUUGAACGCAAGUUGCGCCCGAAGCCAUUAGGCCGAGGGCACGCCUGCCUGGGCGUCACACGUCGUUGCCCCCCCAUCUACUCCUUCGGGAUUGCGGGGGGCGGAUGAUGGCCUCUCGUGCGCCUCGUCGCGCGGUUGGCCUAAAUGCCAAGUCCUCGGCGACGCACGCCACGACAAUCGGUGGUUGCGAAACCUCGGUUGCCAGUCGUGUGCGGUCGUCGCGCAUCGAGGGCUCGAAAAAAUUGCCGGGCUUCGGCUCGACUUUCAACGCGACCCCAGGUCAGGCGGGGUUACCCGCUGAAUUUAAGCAUAUCAAUAAGCGGAGGA
rnacentral:misc_RNA from 1 species